rnacentral:rRNA from 1 species
CCUACGGGUGGCAGCAGUCGAGAAUCAUUCACAAUGGGGGAAACCCUGAUGGGGCGACGCCGCGUGGGGGAAUGAAGGUCUGCGGAUUGUAAACCCCUGUCAUGUGGGAGCAAAUUAAAAAGAUAGUACCACAAGAGGAAGAGACGGCUAACUCAGGGCCAGCAGCCGCGGUAAUACAGAGGUCUCAAGCGAUGUUCGGAAUCACUGGGCGUAAAGCGUGCGUAGGCUGUUUCGUAAGGCGGGUGUGAAAGGCGCGGGCUCAACCCGCGGACGGCACAUGAGACUGCGAGACUAGAGUAAUGGCGGCGUAACCGGCAUUCUCGGUGUAGCCGUGAAAUGCGUAGAUAUCGCGAGGAACACUCGUGGCGAAGGCGGGUUCCUGGACCUUAACUGACGCUGAGGCACGAAGGCCCGGGGAGCGAAAGGGAUUAGAUACCCCGGUAGUC